GCACCCUUAGCUCAACUGGAUAGAGUACCUGACUACGAAUCAGGCGGUUAGAGGUUCGA
rnacentral:tRNA from 1 species